rnacentral:rRNA from 1 species
UAAUACGUAGGGGGCAAGCGUUGUCCGGAAUUAUUGGGCGUAAAGCGCGCGCAGGCGGUCUUUUAAGUUCGGUGUUUAAACCCAGGGCUCAACCUUGGGUCGCACUGGAAACUGGGAGACUGGAGUGUAGGAGAGGAAAGUGGAAUUCCACGUGUAGCGGUGAAAUGCGUAGAGAUGUGGAGGAACACCAGUGGCGAAGGCGACUUUCUGGCCUAUAACUGACGCUGAGGCGCGAAAGCGUGGGGAGCAAACAGGAUUAGAUACCCUGGUAGUCCACGCCGUAAACGAUGCAUGCUAGGUGUUAGGGGUUUCGAUACCCUUGGUGCCGAAGUAAACACAUUAAGCAUGCCGCCUGGGGAGUACGCUCGCAAGAGUGAAACUCAAAUGAAUUGACGG